rnacentral:lncRNA from 1 species
CGACAUCCAUAGACUAGAAAAACGUCAAAUGAUGCUUGGGAUGUGCCUAUAACAUGAAGAAGAGGAAGUUAUAACAUGGUUUUAAAACUCAUAGUGAUGUGCUGAGGAGGAUUCUUUGCCCUGCUUUCUGUGCUGGUGAGACCAUCGGAUAUAGCAGAGGAAACUCAGAGUACUUUGGUGGGGGGGAGUCAAAGAAGGAAACCUCCUUUGGAGAGAGAAGACAUGACAGGCUUGUGGAAAAAAGAAGGGAGAAAGGAAAACAGCAGUUGUUAAGUAAAGUAACUAAACUGUAAAUCUCCUAUCUCUAUCCUCCAGACCACAUCCUAACUGAAUCCAACUGUGCCCCACCCUUGCUCCUUUGUAGCAGUACACAUCUAGCCCCAGAGACUGCUUACUAUAUAAGCUCUUUCUAGUCUUCUCCUUCACCACUAACUAGCUAUUCAGUUCUUUUCCCCCCCAAGGGCCAAUAGGAAGAACCCUUUUUCCGUUUUUUAUUGUGACGGGGUAAAAAAAAAAAGACAGGUUGAUUUUUUUUUUUUCCCCCCCCCCCCCCCCAGGCUGAAAAUGCUGAAGAGUUUUGGUCUGGGGAAAGACUGCAGACCAACCUACUAACAAGAUUAGGAGAAGUCGAGGAAGUUAAGGAAGGAAAAGGAGAGAGAAAAGCUUGUGAAGAGUAGGAUGAUAAAUGUGCUUAUACCUUCUUU